CCUACGGGAGGCAGCAGUAGGGAAUCUUGCACAAUGGGCGAAAGCCUGAUGGAGCAACGCCGCGUGGGUGAAGAAGGUCUUCGGAUCGUAAAACCCUGUUGUUAGAGAAGAAAGUGCGUGAGAGUAACUGUUCACGUUUCGACGGUAUCUAACCAGAAAGCCACGGCUAACUACGUGCCAGCAGCCGCGGUAAUACGUAGGUGGCAAGCGUUAUCCGGAUUUAUUGGGCGUAAAGGGAACGCAGGCGGUCUUUUAAGUCUGAUGUGAAAGCCUUCGGCUUAACCGGAGUAGUGCAUUGGAAACGGGGAGACGUGAGUGCAGAAGAGGAGAGUGGAACUCCAUGUGUAGCGGUGAAAUGCGUAGAUAUAUGGAAGAACACCAGUGGCGAAGGCGGCUCUCUGGUCUGUAACUGACGCUGAGGUUCGAAAGCGUGGGUAGCAAACAGGAUUAGAUACCCCAGUAGUC
rnacentral:rRNA from 1 species